AUCUUCUUACAAAAUAUCUUGAUGCAGACUGCAGAUUUUUUCCGAGGUGACAAUCCAGAAGGCUUGGAAGCACGCAAUGAGGUAAUUGUUUACCAGGAAAACCAUUUUAAAUCAUGAGAAUAUUUUAGUAAGCUGUAUAAGUUUUAUCAGCUGAAAUCACCACCAAAUUAGCAUGGAUUCAAAGUAAUUUCUCUUGUAACUAUACUUCUUCCUCGAUAACAUAUAAUAAGGGUUAUACUGUGAUAGGCACUUGCCAUUCUAGAAGUGGAGAUAUUAAUGAUAUCUUUGUCUUGUCAUUUUCGCUAUGCCUCCAUUUUGGUAUUCUAAUAAGAUUUUCAAUUCAAAAGUCAAUUGCUUUUAUUGGACAUUUCCUUAUACCCUUAGCAAAGACUUAAUGUUUCAAGACUGUUUGCACCCCUUUCUCUCUCAUUCUGCAUAAUUUAGUAUAGAAAAAUUGGGAAAAGAAAAUUUGAGGAUUACAACCAUGACAGUACCCCAAAAGUGUUGUUUGUGAUAUUAUUCUCUGUUUAUAAUAGGGAAAUUAGAGCUUUUGGCAUCUAUGGUAUGCUACAUGCUCAAAUUUGAUUAAUGAAAAGCUGUAUGCAUGCUGUUUGCUUGUGUAGUGUAAGCAUGAUAUAUUUGUGAGAGACUUUUGUGGCUAUACAUGCAUGGCUUUUCCUAACUAAUUUCAUGCCAUUCAGUUGCCACCCUUGGAAAUAUGAAAUGUGGCUAAUUUUGCAAACUCAAGAUUUGCCUGAUCAUUAUCUUCUCAUUGGUGAAAUGGCAUGAGUCAAAAGUCUCUCGUAUGUAUGACCUUCUGCUCUAUGCGUCUAUCACAUUCAGAUCUUCCCUUGAUUUUUUUCUCCUGUUCACAGUUUCUUUGGAAAUAAUAUUUGUAAACACUGUGUAAAUCUCCUCUUUUAGUUUUUCUAGAUGUUAGUAUCUUUUGUAUAGCUGUAAAUUAGUUCUUCCCAAUCUUGUAAUCUCUAAUCCUAUAAAUAUGUAAUUUUAAUUCUUUUAAAUUCUUCAGUCCUUUCCAAAUGAUGUGAAUAUGACAUGGCUGAUUUACAAGCUGUUUAUAAAUGUCAAUUGAAGAUAUCUAGGCUUCUUACUCAUGACUUCUUUUGCUGUACUUGCAAGUUUGUGGUUGCUGAUAGCAUUGGGCAUUGCAUUUUUCUCUUAAAACUUACCUGCUGAAAGAAAUUUUUAAAUUUUGAACUUCUUUUGCUGUUUUUUGUUGUUUCUUAUUUUAAGUCAUGCCCUGAAUUGGCCUUUUUCCUUGCACAUAGUUUUAAUAUGUCACCUGCAACUAGGUAGCAGCUCUUGCAAUGGAAGAUAUGAUAUCUUGGAUGCAAGAGGGUGGACAGGUAAGUUUUAUUUUUAAUUGUGAUAAUCUGCUACAUAUAUUUUACCCUGUUCUAAUAUAAAUUUUACGUGCAUUUAGGUGGGAAUAUUUGAUGCCACAAACAGUACAAGGAAUAGGAGGAAUAUGCUUAUGAAAAUGGCUGAAGGAAAAUGCAAGGUAUGAUGAUUUUGCGGCUAGUUGAUUAUAAUUCUGCGAGGAACUGUGCAGAGUAAGACUCAAUUUGUGGCAAAUCUUCCAAUAAAAUUUUCAUAGAUGUUAUAAUAGUUUGACAUGCAUAACAUGAAAGAUGAUCGUAGAGAAGCCACUUGAGGUUUCUCCCUCUCCCGCCCUUCUUUUUUUUUUUUUUUUUGGGGGUAUUGGGGCAGCGGUCUUGUGUGUUGGGUUAAGACUUCUGAAACAGAAGCUAGAGAAAGAUUCCUACAAUGCAGACUAUAGGUUAUGUGAAUUUUCCUGGGUGUGGACCACAAUGCCUUUGAGUACAAGUGCACACCACUCAACUCUGUAAGGCCUCUUUGUUUGUUUUCGACAGCAGUGCACAAGUUAUAUUUAAUCUGUGAUGGUGGUUUGCCUUGAUAUUCUUGCUUGGCAUCUAAUUUUUUAUAUGACAUAAACCAUAGCUGAUUCUCGGUGCCUUUUAGAGUGAGAGCCUGUUAGUGUGAUUACAUGUUCUUUGCUUCAGAUUAUCUUUUUGGAGACAAUAUGCAAUGAUCAGCAAAUAAUUGAAAGAAAUAUACGCCUCAAAGUUCAGCAGAGCCCUGACUAUGCGGAAGAGUAUGACUAAACUCGUUUCAUUGUAAUGCUAACCCACUGUAAUUUUACGUCGUGAUUCAUGAUAUUUUCAGGCCGGAUUUUGAAGCUGGAUAUCAUGACUUCAAACAUCGACUUGAGAACUAUGACAAAGUAGUUUCUUGAAACAUACUAUAGCUCAAGUUUUUAUUAUUAUUUUUUUGAUGGAUGCUAUGGGUAAUAGUGUUUUAUAGGUAGCAUUUUCUGAUUUCAGGUUUAUGAACCCGUAGAAGAAGGCUCUUAUAUCAAAAUGAUUGAUAUGGUCAGUGGCCAUGGUGGACAAAUACAAGUAAAACCUCCUUUCCAUCAUGUCUAAAUCUUAUCAAAUUAGUUUUGUUCAGUAUAUUUUCUAUAAAAUCAAAUUUGAAUAUCUAUUACAUAUAUAUGCAAGGUUGCUUCUCUUGCAUGAAUGGUUGCGUAAAAUAAUAGAAAAGAGACAACAAUCUUGUAUGCAAACAAUCUCCAAUAAAUCCUUGGUGGUGCUAGAAAUUUCCUUUUAUGCUUAAUUUAUUGGCACAUACAGCAGUUCCAUACACAUCGUAUUAAUUUGCCAUUAUAUGAUUUUGGAUCUGCAGAUGAUUUCUAUCUUUUUGAUAAAACCAAAUUUAAUAAUAAAUUGAAACACGUGUGAUUAGUGAUAUAGAGAGGUCCUACGAUUUAGACAAAAAUUGAUUCUCCAAUCAAUGCUAGAGUUCAUAAAUCUUCUAAGGAAAAAACCUGAAGAAAAAACUCGAAACUGGGAGCAGUAGAUUUGAUUAAUUCUUGUAAUUUUCUUGGAUUAUCUGACUUUUUAUUGAGCCACGUUAAUUAUAUUCUUUAUCAUUCCCUCCUCCAUAAAAGAAAAUUGCCAUUAGUUUGCUAGUGGUUGCCUGAAUCUUCUUCUCCAAGAUUGAAUUAAUAAGCUGGGAACAUUGAAUGUAAGAUGUAUUCUUCAAGUAAGGUGCCAAAGUCAAUUUCGUCAAGAUUAACCCAUAAAGAGAUGGGAAGAAGGAAAUAGUUUGAUAAAGAAAAAAAGAGGUGAAGGGAAGAAAGAGCAAUGAAAUAAAGAAGAAAUUGAGGGUCUCUUUCUUGGUUUAAUAAGUAAAGGGAAUGUCGGUUAUAUUAGAGUAUAUUUCCAUGUAGAGGUUAAUAAAAUCACCGAAAAUCAGGGAUUAAUUCCAUUGUAUAGCUAAUUAUUUUCUUUCCUUAUAUAGCUUGUAAUAUUCUAUAAAUCAAAUGUAAUACACACGAGAAGAUUCAUUCUGCAAAAUAUUGUCAUGGUAUCAGAGACCUAAAAUCCUCUUUCUCGUACUUGUGAUCGUCCUCGUGUGUUCGACACCAUCCAGGGGCGAACCCACAUGGGGUCAUGUGGGGUCAAAUGACCCCACAGUUUUUUUUUUUUUUUUUUUUUUUGAAAACGGUUAUCCAUGAAUAUUUGGGAGUUCCAAUUAAUUCCUAGCCGGCUAGCCCAAUGACUCCAAUCCAUUAUCCAUAUCCAUUAAUCCAUAGUCCAUAGAUGAUAGACCUAAGACCAUAAUCCACUCUCCACUCCAUUGUCUUCCCACCGAUUUCUGAUGAGAAAAAUGUAGGAAAAUUUGAAAACUUAAUGAAUUCUAAAGUACGAAAAACGUUAUCUUUUAAGAGAUGUUUCUUUCCUAUCCAACGAAGUCACUAUUGGGGUAUGAUAGAAAAUCUCUCUUAGAAUACAAUGGAGGCGUUUGAUUCAAAUUGUGACUAUUUGAUCAAACCAAGAAGACACUCGAAAAAGAACUGAUGAUGCCAAGAGAAAGAGAGAAGAAUAUUUUUUAAUGUAUUUUGCAAACGAGAAUUCGCCCAGAAUUUAUAGAAAUUAAGGCAACCGUUUGAAUAGGUGUAUCCCUUAAAAUGAAGAACACAUAUGUUGGAAGUAGCAGUCAAAACGAACAAAUGCACCUAUUCAAAGACUUUUGAAAAUAAAAUUCUCUUUCGGGGGCGUUGCCCUUUGCGCAACAACAAACACUAGUCGAAGUGGCAAAUCAUUCGCAAAACAAAAAAAUAAAUACAUGCAAAAUGAUGAAAAAUAUCUAACAAUUUCUUCCCAAACAGCAGCGAAGCCUUCAUUUUUGACCCCACAGUCUGAAGUCUAUGGGUCCGCCCCUGGCACCAUCUCGUGUUUUUUCGGCAAUCUAUAGUUGGUAGGUGGUUGAUCGUAGUCGACGACUGUCAUCGGACCACUGUUCAUUGAAGUUCGUAUCUUCGGUGGUCGCAUCCCUUCUCUUCCUCAUUGGUUGAGUUUCUCGGCCUUCGUCUUUGUCUCUAUCUUUGUCUUGCGUCGCGCCUCCCGGUUUGCUCCGCCUAGUGGUGUUUAGUCAUAGUUUCCUUCUCAGUUCAGUUGUUGAUUCUUGGUCGAGGGAGGUUUUUGGCAUCUCGGUGUUGGGUUGGGGACUUCACAUCUCCAGUUGAAUUCUUCUUUGUAUUAACUUGGUUUCUUCUCUUUCUCCUGGACUGGGACGUGAAUUGUGGUGGUGUUGGGCUAUUGGGCUUGAUUCAUUAUUAGUUAAGCUGAAUUAUUUGAAUAGUGUUGGUCGAUUGUAUUUGGGCUACUCUUUUAAUUAAGCCCCCGUUUGAGCUCCAUUAUUUCUCAUUACAUUAAAUCAAAAUUUUCUCUAUCCCUACUUUUAACCACACAAUUUUCAAUAAAAUAAUAUUACACGUAAAUCAAAAGUUUUUCAACAACUCAUUUUAAAAAAAACACUAUUCAUCUCAUUAUAAUCUACAAAUAAUGGGGCUCAAAUGGGGGCUAAUUAUUAGUUCCAUCAUGUCAACCGAUAAGAAUUGAGUCGGUUUGUAUUCGCUUUUUUGGAAAAAAUUAUUCUUCAUGGGCUUUUCACUUUCAAUUGUUGGUUGAAGGCAAAGGCGAUCUUUGGGGAUAUAUUGAUGGAGAUCUUCCUUCUCCUGAUCAAGAGAAGGAUAAAGAAAAGUAUAUUGCUUGAAAAACCAAAGAUUCUCAACUUAUGGCCUGGAUCAUUGGAUCAGUUGAUGAGUAGAUUGUCCUUAAUCUCAGACCUUACAAGUCAGUCCGUGCUAUGUGGGAGUUCUUGAAGAAAGUCUAUACUCAAAGUAAUAAUGCUUGGCGACUUCAGUUGGAGUUUGAAUUAGCAAAUUUCUCUCAUGUUCCAUUGAAGAAUAUUAUUCAGGAUUCUCUAACCUUUGGGCCGAGUACACAAAUAUUAUCUACGCUUUGGUUUCAUUAAACAAUUUGGAGGCUAUCCAAGUUGUACACGAAGUCACCAAGAGAGAUCAAUUUCUUAUGAAAUUAUGAACUGAAUUUGAAUCCACCCGAUCUGGUCUUAUGAAUUGCGAGUCUCUUUCAUCACUGGAUGGUUGUUUGGGUGAAUUACUGAGGGAGGAGCAGUGUCUUAUCACUCGCGCUUCUUUGGAACAACAACAGAAUAAUGUAGCACCGGCUCUCAUUGCUUAUGUGGCUCAAGGAAAAUUCAAGCAUCGGGAUAUGUCUGUUUGCAAUGUUAUAGUUGUAAGGGAUUUGGUUACAUAGCUCUUCAGUGUCCUAAAAAAGUUUGCAAUUAUUGCAAGAAGUCUGACUAUGUUAUUAAGGAGUGCCCCACUUGUCCUCCACGCAACAUUGGAGCAAAUUAUAUUGCUGUUGCAACUUUAGCCUCUAAUUCUGCUUUACCACCUGCUCCUUUUCAAGUUCCAACAUUUCUCAACUCUUCUCAAACUCACAUAACUCCUGAGAUGAUUCAACAAACGAUUAUCUCUGCUUUGGGUAUCUCAGGUAAUACACCAUCUACUCGUUCUUCUUGAUUAUUAGACUCAGGUGCCUCUAACAAUAUGACUCACGAUCCUUUGUUACUUUGUAACCUUAGACCAUAUAUAGGACCUUUCAAUGUACACACUGCCGAUGGUAACAAACUUCCUUUCUUCGCUGUGGGAGAUAUAUCACUUUAACCUCUCCUCAUUUAUUAACUAAUCUUUAUCUAUCGGGUAACUUAUUGAUAAUAAUUGUAUUGUCUCUUUUUCUUCUUCUAAUUGUCAUGUACAAGAUCAGAUGUCUGGAAGGACUAUCGAAAGGGACCUAAAGUGGGACGUCUGUUUCCUAUUUCAUAAAAGCCUAUUCCAUUUUCUUCUUCCGUUUGUAAUUCUGCCACUUUAGAUAUUUUUAAGUGGCAUAACAAAUUGGGACACCCCAAUUCGAAUGUGCUACUACACUUGUUAAACUCGGGUUUGCUUGGUAAUAAAAAUGCUGCUUCAGUUAUCUCUCUCGAUUGUGCGUCAUGUAAACUUGCUAAAAGUAAAGUUCUACCAUUCCCAUCUCAUGAUUCUCGUGCUUUACAAAUUUUCGAUAUUAUUCGUAGUGAUGUAUAGGGUGUUGCACCUGUGGUAUCCUAUGCACAUUAUAAAUACUUUGUUAUCUUUAUCGAUGAUUAUAAUCGAUUUACAUGGAUUUAUUUUCUUCGUGCAAAGAGUUAUGUCUUCUUUGCUUUUCAAGUCUUUCUUGCUCUCAUUGACAAUCAAUUUUAUUCCUCGAUCAAAGUCUUAAGAUCUGAUUCAGGAGGUGAAUGAAUGUCUAGAGCUUUUCAAUCUUUCUUACAACUCAAAUGUAUCAUUUCUCAGCGAUCUUACCCUUCUACGCCUCAACAAAACGGCGUGGCAGAACGCAAGAAUCGUUAUGUUCUUGAUAUGGUUCGAGCUCUUUUGAUUGAGUAUUCUGUUCCCUCUCGUUUUUUGUGUGAAGCAUUGUAUACCGCUGUGCAUCUCAUAAACCGAUUACAUUCUCUCACUUUUAGUAAUGUUUCUUCAUUUUUGAAAAUAUUUGGUUAUCAUCCCACAUAUUCUCAUCUCCGUCCCUUUAAGUCUGUAUGUUUUGUUCAUUUGCAAUCACAUGAAAGGACAAAACUUACUCUUCAAUCUGUCAAGUGUGCCUUUCUGGGAUAUGGUGGGACUAAAAAAUGGUACAUCUGUUAUGAUCCUACAUCACAACGAAUUCGUAUUUUUCAUAAUAUUAUUAUUUUUGAAAAAUAAUCAUUCUUCAGUUCAGAAACUGUAGUUUCUCCUCCUGUGUUCUCUAUGUUACCUGAUUUCCCUGCAGAACCAUCUCGGUACAAGCCAGCCUUGUUUACGCUCGUAGGCAUGUUGCAUCCAUCACUAAUCUAGAUCUUGUUUCUCCGAUAAUGGUCCUUCCAAGCUUCUCUGAUCCUCUACCUACGACUCCUGAUCCUGCACAUGAUGAUGUGCCGCCUCCCGUCCCUCUUCGUCUUACUUCUCAUGUUUCUCGACCACCCAAUAGGUAUGGUUUCUCCUUCCGUAGUUCUAUGUCCGCUACACUUAAUUCGAUUUCUAUUCCUUCUUCCCAUAGACAAGCUAUAGAACAUGAAUGUUGGUAACAGGCUCGAGGCUCUUCAGGCCAAUCAGACCUAGGAUAUUAAGUGUGAAACCCAUUGGAAGUAAAUGAGUAUAUUUCGUUAAACUUCGUUCUGAUGAUUCUCUUGAGUGUUAUAAGGCUCGAUUAGUUGUUUUGGGUAAUCAUCGGGAGUAUGAUGAGACAUUUGCUCUUGUAGCAAAAAUGACCACAGUUCAUCUCUUGUUAUUGCUUGCCACUUCCCAAUCAUGGUUUUUACAUCAAAUGGAUGUGAAGAACGCAUUCCUACAUGUACACCUCAAGGAGGAUAUUUAUAUGAAACUUCCAUCUGGUAUGCCUCUUCCCUUAAUUGACUCUAGAUAUUGGCUAAAAUGCUUUUUGUAUGAUCUUAAGUAGGCUCAUUGGGCAUGGUUGACAAAUUUCGUUGUACUCUUUUGGAUUUCUUAUUUACCCGAAGUCAGUAUGAGGCAUCUCUGUUUUUCACAAGAGUAUUGUUGGCAUUGUCUUUUUAUUGGUAGAUGUGGAUGAUAUUAUUAUCUCUGGAUUUGAUCACAGUCUUAUCCAGAAACUUCAGCAGCAUCUUCACUCGAUUUUUCACAUGAAAGACCUUGUUCAACUUACUUUCUUGGUUUAGAGGUACAUACCACAUCAGAUGGUAUCUUCUUGAAUCAACAUGAGUAUAUUUGAAGCCUCCUCAGUUGAUACGCUGUUGGAGCAUAAUGCCAAAUAUCGAGAAGAUGGAGGAGAUUUUCUUCCAGAUUCUACUCUUUAUUGGAAGUUUGUAGGUAGUCUCAUCCAUCUCACCAUCACACGUCCGGAUAUUUCCUAUGCGGUUCAUACUAUAAGCAAGUUUAUGGACGCUCCUCAUCAUCUUCAUUUGGUAGCCGUUCGUCGCAUUAUUUGCUAUCUUAUUGAAACUCCUCAUCGUGAUCUUUUCUUCCCUGGGGGGUCAUCUCUUGAGCUCACAGCUUAUAGUGAUGCUGAUUGUGCUGGUUGUCCUGAUUCCCGUCGAUCUGCUAUUGGAUGGUAUAUUUUUUUUUGGUGAUGCUCUCAUUUCUUGGAAAUGUAAUAAACAAGAAUGUGUUUCUAAGUCUUCCACUGAGGCUGAAUACCGAGCUAUAUCCGCUGCAUGUUUUGAGGUUACGUGGUUGCAUGGUCUUUUGGCAGAACUUGGUAUCUCUCAAUCAUAGUUUACACCCUUUCAUGGUAACAACAUUAGUGCUAUUUAGAUUGCGGCCAAUCCUGUGUAACAUGAACGCAGCAUAUAGAAGUCGAUUGUCAUUACAUCCGGAAUGCCUAUGAUUCCAAAGUCAUAUCUCUUCCCCAUGUUUCCACUUCACAACAGGGUACACAUAUCUUCACCAAAUUGUUAACUCGCCUCCUUCAUAACUUUCUCGUGAGUAAAUUGAUGCUUGUGGACUCCCCAACAUCAAUCGGGUCCGGGGGCGGGGGUUGUCAUUAGAGUAUAUUUCCAUGUAUAGGUUAAUAAAUCACAAACAAUCAGGAUUAAUUCCAUUGUAUAGCUAAUUAUUUUCUUUCCUUAAUAGCUUGUAAUAUUUUUAAAUCAAAUGUAAUACACACGAGAAGAUUCAUUCUGCAAAAUAUUGUCACGUUAAUCCCACAAUAAAAAAGGACCUAAAUAUGGAAUUUAGUUUUCGACCAGUUCUUGCUUUGGACUUUAUUUUAUCAAAUUUCCUUUCUAUGUAUUUCAAUUAGAUGAUGUUAAGUAGUUGAGCUUUGCAUUCUACCUUCCUAGUUUGUUAAGGACCUCAAUUUUUGGCAUUCAUCCAGUCUGAUUUUUGUUACAUUCUUCCUCACAUGCAUUUAUAUUUCAUUAUUUCAGGAUGAGAAUAAAUUAGAUUGGGAUAUCAGUAAAAGCCAUUUGAUCAAUGGUCCGUAGAUUGUGUAACUAUUACUUAACUUCAGCUACAGUCUGUAGGUUGUAUAAUUGUUAAAAAAACAUGUGAUUCUACUUCUAUAGAUUAUUAAAAUUAUGAUCUUUUUUUAAUGUUAUGGUCUAUUUUUGCUUCGGUAAAAAGUUGAAGCUACUGUUUGAACAAUAAUUUUAGAGUUUUGUUCUGAAUUUCUUGGCUUCCCAUUGCUUUUCUCCUUUUCCUUUCAAUGGAAAACAUCAUUGCUGGUUGCUACCUAAUUGUGAAUAUUUGUGAAACAGGUGAACAACAUUAGUGGCUAUCUUCCUGGUCGUAUAGUAUUUUUCCUGGUACGUCCUAUUUCAUUGUGUCGUAACACUUACCUACUCGUCUUGCAAUAUUACAUGGCUGUUUCUAUAGAUAUACCAUUCUAUCAUUAUCAAUGUCAAGUGUGAACAGAAGCACUUUUAACGAUGUAUAAGGUUCUAACCCAGAAAAGUUCAUGUAAGAGACCUUGGUCCACGUAGUACUCUUGAGGAGAUUUCCUUUGUCCCAAUCUAACUGGUGAUAAAAGUGCCAGGGAUUACAUAAAAUUAAAAAUGAUAAAUUUCAACUGUUCCCGAUGACCCAGGGUACUGUAUAUAUGUUUUCUUCUCAAUGUUGUUGCAAUUAGCAUAUUUGGAUCAUUAGGUUUCUCUAAACCUGUUUCUUCAAGCUGUAUGCUGCUUUCCCAUCUAUAUUUUGAACUUGCGACUUAUUAUAUAUGUAAAAGGAUCUGGAGGAAAAGGCUUUGCUCUAUAACAUUCCUCUCUUAUGAUCUAAGUAUUAUUUUUUCUCUUCAUCCGGCUAUUUAUUCAUUUAUUUUUUAUUUUGCCCCUAUUUGGGCCCCAUCCUUUAAAAAACAAUUUUCUUCAAAUUCAUUUUCAACCAUAUAUUCUCCCAAUAAAUAAUUUUGCACAUAAAUUCAAUUUUUUUUUUCUAUUUUUUAACUGCACGUUCUCUAAAAAAAAAAAUCACUUUUUGAUAAUCUAUUCUCAAAAAAUGGGGCUCCCCCCCCCCCCCCUCCCCCUUUCU
rnacentral:lncRNA from 1 species